AUCACUGGAUGUUAAGAUAUUUACAGAAUAUGGAAAAUUAAAACAGGACAUCUGGAUCACAAUCACAAGACAAGCCCUUCGAAAUCUAGGCUAUAUCGAUGCAACCGAGAGUUGAGUGCACAUGUAAAACGACAACUUGAAGUAAAUGACAUGGCAGGAAUUUCGCUGCACAAGAGUCACAACUCUACAGUUGUUGAAGCAGGUGGAUAUGAAAGUAUGACUUGCAUCGAAUGGGAUUGUCAAAACUAUGUCGAAAAAGCGAGGUGAUUACGACUUGGAGAGGGGGACACAGUAGCAAUACAAUCAUAUUUCUCUAAAAUGCAAGCACGAUGCUCGGGCUUGUACUUUAGUAUAAAUUUGGAUGACGAUUUGCGCCUAAAAAAUAUUUUCUGGGCAGACAAUAGGAGUAGGCAGGCAUAUAAGGAGUUUGGUGACGUUGUCACGUUCGACACUACGUACCUCACUAAUAAAUAUGAUAUGCCAUUUGCCCCUUUUGUUGGAGUGAACCACCAUGGACAACCUACACUCCUUGGAUGUGGUCUGGUGUCGAUACAGAGACAUUUGUGUGGCUACUUCAGACAUGGCUGCAAUGUAUGCAUGGACAAGCUCCAUAUGGGAUAAUUAUAGACCAGGAUAGAGCUAUGCAAAAUGCAAUACAAAUUGUGUUCCCUAAUAAAAAACAUAGAUGGUGCUUGUGGCACAUACUAAAAAAAUUGCCUGAGAAGUUUAGAUACCAUGUGGAUAAGGGGUCCAUAUUUAGUACUAUACACGGUUUGGUCAAUGGUUGUCAAUUUGCGGAGGAAUUCAAAACUGGCUGGAAAGUUAUGAUCAAAACGUUUAACUUGUAAGAUAAUGAAUGGCUGGCGGGUUUGUAUGAGAACAUGGGACAUUGGGUACCUUGCUUUUUGAAAAUCACAUUUUGGGCAGGGAUGUCGACAACUCAACGAAGUGAGAAUAUGAAUGCAUUCUUUGAUGGUUAUGUACAUUCGAAGACGACAUUGAAGCAAUUUGUUGAACAAUACCAACAAACAUUGAGAAGUAAGGUUGAGAAAGAGUUUCAAGCGGACUUCAAGUCCUUCUCGCAAAUGGUGUCGUGUGCAAUGAGUUAUGAAAUGGAGAAACAAUUCCAAGCAGUUUACACAAUUUCAAAAUUCAAGGAAGUUCAAGAGGAGUUCAAAGGUAAGGUUUAUUGCGACCCCACAUCUGUUUCGGAGGGACUAUCGGGGACGACUUAUGAGAUAAGAUAAGACGUAAUACAUGACGAGCGUUAGAAGAAAAAAAACCUUUUUCAUCUCAUUUCAAAGAGACAAAUGUGAAAUCAUUUGUAAUUGUCACAAUUUUGAGUUUCAAGGGAUUAUUUGUAGACAUACGAUCGCAGUAUUGAUCCGUAAUGAUAUCAAAUCAGUACCAGAAAGGUAUAUAAUACAGAGAUGGCGACGAGAUGUCAGUAGAACCCACACGAGGGUAGCAGUGCAUUAUGAUGGUAUGGAUAGUACUCCCGGACAAUUGAGGUACGACAAAAUGUGUUAACACUUUGCUACAUUGGCGAACAUGACGGAAGACAAUGAAGUUAAAUCCGAUGUCAUAAUUGAGUGGACAGAUAGUUAAUGUAAACAGAUGAUGACAUUGAAGUAAAGUAGUAAUAGUAAUAUCCUGUCCCCACAUAUUACUCACACAUCAUCUAAUUGUAGAGCAUCACUGAAUAUUGGAGGCGGUAGCAUCAGGGAUCCAGAAUGUGCGAAAAGAAAAGGUGUCCCUAGGAAACUUUAGAAGAAAAACCAAUUGCAAUCAAGUAUGAACAGAGUUAAGGUAAUGCCCAGAUUUUAGUAUCUAAAUGUUAUAAAGUCGUCGUAGAGAUAAUGUCUAAUACCAUUCCAUGUUUUGCAGCCAACUUCGAGUUCAACGAAGAGGAAGAAAUCGAAGGUCUGUGCAAGUAAUACGGGAAAUGAUGCACAUCUCUUUCAGUCACCUCAACAAUUACACAUGUCGCUACCUUUCUCAUAUACACAUCUCCUUAUGGUUAGUACUCAGCGUAUGGUUUGAUUGCAACGAAAAUAUACGAUGAACUGAUAAUAUUAUUUCAUGUAGGGUAGCAACCAAAAUUUUCAAUUCACACAACACUUGCAGCCCACAUGUAUCAACCCUCCAUCCUCAACAAGUCUUCUAUUCAAUAUGCAAGGUAACAUAGUUGUUAUAUAGAACGUAAUAGUUUACAAACAUUAUUCAUUAUGUACAUUCAUUACUAUGUAAUAAACAACCUUAAGUGGAGUUGAUAUUGGAAGGUGUGGCUACAAGACAUAUGAAUGAUGCUGCUGACAAUGAAACACGAUAGUUAGACAAUCACCUUGAUGGCAUAAACAUCAUCAACCCCAAUAUAUGAGCUCUUAGCUGUGCUAUAACCAUAUGAUAAAAGUGAAUAAUUAUUUGCCAUAUAACUUCCUAGCAUUACCAUACGAUAUGGAUGCACACAACUUGUGCUGCAGACUUUGGAAAGCACACUAAUAAGCUUUAUUGUACCUAGACCUAAGUCGGAGUUUAUACUAUUUUUGUUGGACAAUUAAAUAUUUUUAAAUUCUGCUAACUAUUUUUCUCCCAUCUCUUUCACAGAGUAAGUUUUUUAUUUGCAGGUUUAGAGUGAUUGGCUGUGGAUUGAAUUAAAUACUUGGCCAUGUGCAUAUAAAGAGACUGGAGAACAUAUCGUUUUGAUAUACUCCUUGAUCCUUUCAGCUUCUGAUUGCAUUUGGUCUUAGUUCGAAUUUGGAAUAGCUUAAUAAUUGAGUUUGUAUGAUCUCUUAGUUACGAAUUUAGUAAUGACAUCUGAUUACUUGAAGUUGAGUUUGUUUAGUUCAGUUGGAAAUUCCAAAUCAGAUUCCAAAGAAAUUCUUCAAUUUCCAGCAGUAGAGAACAGGCUGAUUAUUCGGCAGUUAAUUUAUUAAGUUUUGAUUAUAGCCGUGUGAUUGAUGAUUUGUUUUGAUUCAAGUUCUGGGAUCAACUUCUUAGUGUUUUUCCAUAUUUACCAUAAUGAUAUUUAUCCCCA
rnacentral:lncRNA from 1 species